AUUCAAAUCUUUGUUUUUGGAUGUAAUAUUUUUUUUUACUUGCAAGUUUUUCCUUCUUCUUCCCAAGGGAAUAUGACUUUGAGAUGCCACCAGCUGAUUCUCAACUCAGACAUCCUGAUGUAAGCAGGUAGAUACACUCAUCCAGGCUUUCGGCUCCUUAACUCUAUCUUGUCCAAUUCCUCGCUGUCUGCCCCUACACCUGAAGACUGAUGGCUUUCCAGUGAAAGUACACCUUCUGAUGGAGGACGUCACUUGUUUACAGCUGACCUGCAGACCUGCGAAGGCAGCAAUUCCAAACCAGAGACAAUGUUUCAACCUAGAUUAAGCAAAGAGACACUUAUUAGAGAUAUGUUGCAAUAAGGAUUAUUUGCAGGAGGAGGGGCUCCUUCCAUAAGCUUAUUUUCAGUCCAACAGCGAUUUAGCAUCAAAUUAUGGAAGAAAACAAUCCCUCUGGAAAAAUGGACAACUUUUGUAUGGUGAAAAUCUGGACAACAAAUUUCACAGCAUUACAGUCAUUACACUCUCUGUAAACCACAGGCUCCAUCUAGGGAAGUAGCAUGUAGUGGAUUAAGUGAAAACGCAGAACUAGUUUUUGUUGUAGCUCAUUCCUUCAACAGGUGAAGGAGCAAAGCUAUAAGGAUAGCUGUGGUCCAGAUGUGUCAGUUUUCAGCUCCUCUCUACUUUCUGUUGUCAUAAAAAUGAGCAGAAGUAGAGGGGAUGUUUAAAUCUGGAUACAGAGUUGGACCUCAGACAUCUUCUAAUCUGGAUUUGGGGAUUUGCCCAUGAUCUCUAAUGUAAAGGGAAUGUUUUGUCAUUUAUGAUCUUAGCUGAGCUAGUCAGCAGCACUGUUACAGUGACUCACAGCAGCACCGAGCUUGUGAGUCACUGCUGUGUCCUUUUGGAAAGACAUUAAUCCUCCUUUCCUGCUGCUUGGGCUGUUUUGGGAACCACAACCUUAAACAUUAAAAAGCACAUUUUUUAACUGACACUUGCCAGGACUGGGUUUUGUUUGUACCACUGAGGAUGUACUUUGUGGCCUCUCUGCUGUUGACUAGACACUGACACAUCUGGCACCCAGACUCCAGAGGAUGGAGCGAUUCAGGCACUUGUUUCACUCGUUAGAUCUGGCUGUCAAACUUAUUUCAGUCAGUAGGUCUUUGGGCACAAUUUAAGAGUUUUUCUUAACAACCAGCGUCUGUCAGAUGGCAACUCCCCUACUCCUCCUUUCCUGUUCAUGCUAUUUUAAGAGACUAACAGUUUAAAUAAUAAUAAUAACAAAAUCCUUCAAGAUUUUUUCUCUGAGUAACUUGUCCUCAAGAGACUUGGAGGCCCUAAGGUUUCUUCCUGACCAGUGACAGGAUGUGGUGUAUCCACAAGAAGUCAUCUAAUAAGUUGCUGCACAGGCGGCCUUAUCAAAAGCUUUUGGGAUUACUUGCAGGGCAGGAGGAACUGUGCCCUGUUGAUGUAUUAAAUAGUUUGGUAACUCUACCUCAAAUGUUUAUUGGUGUACCUCCUGGCUUAAAGCUUGACAUUUCUGUUUUAAACCACCAAUUGGUUAGUUGUGGUCUCUUAGAGCCUUUAGCUAGAGUGGGAUUCAUCUUGCUGAACUUCAGACAUCUGCAGAGGCUAUCUUUAUCUGAGCUAAUCUCUCUGGGCUCCCAUUACAUUGAACAAUAGAGAGAAACAGGCAUUGCAGGCUGUGAGUUGUCUGGCAUGCUUUAGCUGACUUAGGAGGACAGGAGUGGCGCCCAAGAAGUGACUGUUUCUCUCCAUUUACUAUGACAGAGUUUAUGGGUAACAGUGUAAAUGAAAGUGUCCAUACUGAGUCAAGUGAGUAAUACUUUUAGCAUUCAUUCAAUGAAUGUUCACUCAAGAUAAAAUUUUUCCAUGCAAAUUCCACUUAACUCAAUUUCAGCAUUGCUCUUCUGGGGCAUGGCCUUUGGCUGUUUUUGGAACAAAUGAGGGGUGUCUUAUUUUUAUUUUUUUAACCAGCAGAGUUAUGUGUGUGAAUUGUAGUUUCUUCUCCUUUCUGAAGGGAGGUGGGCACACUUGCACGGUUGUCCAGCCCUGGGGUGGCUGUACUGUUUCAAUUGAACUGUGCUGGUGUAUCUAACUCUAGCUGUUAAAAAGUCACAAAAGGUUUUCAAAUAACAAAUCCAUGAAGAUUUUUGUUCAUCUUCUCAUACUUAAAACAGUAGAGGGAAGCCUUCAAACUGCAUGGGAGUUCUGAAGAGACCUUCAUUUGCAGGCAUUUAGAAAAAGCAGUCCUCUUCUCUGGCUCUCUGUAGGCAGUAUAGUGUCUCCCUCAGUAUCCUCAGAGCUCCUUUGACUCAGUCUUUUUGCUGUUCUGUAUGGUUUCCCCUUGUCUUCCUUUCCAUGCCUUUCUCUUCAGCCUUUAAUUCUGCAUCCUGUACCUUCUGCCAGCGCAGAAAGUGCCAGAGACCUUCUGAAGGCUUCUGUCUCUGAGAAGACCAAUGCUCAAAAGUAUGGUUGCGCAUUUCACGUCCUUUUGCUGCAGGUAUAAAUACACCCUAACCAAUACAGCUGCUUUAGCUGAAGGAUUGGGCUCUGUCUUAAGUCUCAUUAGGGCAUCAGACAGUGCAAGCUUCAACAAUUUCUGUUCCUAAAAUGUAAAGAGAUGUGAGGCAGGGUCUUUUCUAAUGAGAACAAAGGGGUUUGUGAUGUUUUCUUUAUAUGUUAAAAUAUGCACCUGGAAAUUUUCCAAAUAAAAGCAUUUGCAUCUUGUAA